rfam:Colletotrichum orbiculare MAFF 240422 contig06050, whole genome shotgun sequence.
GAACCUGAUGAUCAAAUUAUCAUACAUCGUAUGUUGGAAUUACCGGCUGAAUCUAAUGAUCGAAAAAAACUGGCUGUUUCUGAUU